rnacentral:tRNA from 1 species
AAGAAGGAAGCUAUAAUAGCGCCUAAUUUCGACUUAGUUUUUGAGGUUUGUCCUCCCCUCUUA